AACGGUCAUACCAUGCUGAAUAUACCGGUUCUCGUUAGGUCACCGAAGUCAAGCAUCAUUGGGCGCGGUCAGUACUUGGGUGAGUGACCACCUGGGAACACCGCAUGCCGUU
rnacentral:rRNA from 1 species